AGCGAACGCUGGCGGCAGGCCUAACACAUGCAAGUCGAACGGAUCCUUCGGGAUUAGUGGCGGACGGGUGAGUAACACGUGGGAACGUGCCCUUUGGUUCGGAACAACUCAGGGAAACUUGAGCUAAUACCGGAUGUGCCCUUCGGGGGAAAGGUUUAUCGCCAUUGGAGCGGCCCGCGGCUGAUUAGCUAGUUGGUGAGGUAAAGGCUCACCAAGGCGACGAUCAGUAGCUGGUCUGAGGGGAGGAUCAGCCACAUUGGGACUGAGACACGGCCCAAACUCCUCCGGGAGGCAGCGGGGGGGAAUCUAGCGCAAUGGGCGAAAGCCUGACGCAGCCAUGCCGCGUGAAUGAUGAAGGUCUUAGGAUUGUAAAAUUCUUUCACCGGGGACGAUAAUGACGGUGCCCGGAGAAGAAGCCCCGGCUAACUUCGUGCCAGCCGCCGCCGUAAAAC
rnacentral:rRNA from 1 species